UUUUUUUUUUUUAAUGUUAGUAUUAUGCUGUCUGGGCUUAAAAAUCAUGUAAAAUAUUUCUUUUAAUAUGACUGACUAGUAGAAACUAUGAAGGCUUGAUCAAAUUCAUCAAAUAAGUUUGACCAAUUUGUUAAAUAAGUUCAAAUUUAACUUAUUUGCUUAAAUAAGUUAAAUUUGAACUUAGCCAGAGUUAACAAUCAAUUUAUAAGUAGUUUUCUAUGUAAUUGACUUUUACUAAGUAUGAUUCUGUUUGCAUUUUUUAGUACUAUGUACAUACAGUUAGGGAGUUUUAAUUGACAUGAUACCAAAGAGGAUGCAGAAAAUAAGCUAUUCCUUGUCAAGUACUGUUAAUGUAGUACACUAUUUUCUUAUGUAAUUUUUCUAUAUAAAAUUUAAAUUUUAGUAAAACAAGUUUCUAAUAGAGUCUAAUGAUUUGUUGUUGUUGUUUUGUUGUUGUUUUCUAGGUUUUCUUUGUGUAGCCUUGGCUGUCCUGGAACUCACUGCUAGACCAUGCUAUGCCUUGAACUCACUAGAUCUGCCUGCCUCUGCCUCCAGAGUGCUGGGACUAAAAGCAUACUCUCCCAUCACUACCACUCAGCAGAUUCUAAUGUUUCUAAUUUUUAAAACUUUGGCUUAAUGAGGUAUUCACAAAUGCUUGCUUUUGAGUGGUUGUCAGUCUUACAGAUAAUAAUCACUUAUUACUAUCAGUAGGCAUUAUUUUUAAACUUUGUUUUUGUUUUCAAAAUACAUUUGGUUUGUUGAGAAGAUUUAGAUUGAGUAGCAUUGCUACAGGUUUGCAAGAAUAUAGGUAAAGUAGAGUGAGCUCACUCUUUUGGUCUUUGGGAAUUUAUACAGUUAAGUUUGGUUGGGUGGGCAUGGUUGCUCACUCUUGUGUCUGCAUUGAGAAGGCUGAAGCAGGAAGGAUCACCCUAGUAUCCAACCCAUCUUGGCUACAUAGUAAGUUCUAGAGAAGUCUGGGCUGCACAGUAAGACCCUGUCUCAACAAAAUAAAACGUUUUAGGUUUGAGUCUGAAGAAGGAUAGUUGGUAGAAAAUGAGGAGGGGGGUACUUUAGAAUAGAUCUCUUUAUGAGACUUAAGUUUGGAGAUGGAAAACAGCAAAUGGUUACUUGAGGAAUUAGGGUUUGAAGCAUUUAAAAUGAUACAUGUCGGUGCUGGAGAGAUAGGCUCAGUGAUUAAGAGCACUGACUGAUCUUCCAGAGGUCCUGAGUUCCAUUCCUAGCAACUACAUGAUGGCCUUUUCUGAUGUGUCUGAAGAGAGGGACAGUGUACUCACAUGCAUAAAAUAAAUAAAUCUUUAAAAUGAUGCACGUUUACCUUUGUGACCUAAUGCAAUUAAAUAAUAAGAAUUAAACUUUUAAAUGUCAAGAACUAAAUUUUUGAGGCCAACAAGAUGACUCAGCCGGGAAAGACUUGCCAUGAACCCUGACAAUCUGGGUUCCAUCCCUGGGUCCAAAAAACAAAAAAGGAUUUUUGAAAGUUGUCUUUUGACCAGUGGCAUGUACACACCACAAACACACCCUGCCUCCA
rnacentral:lncRNA from 1 species